CCUACGGGAGGCAGCAGUGGGGAAUAUUGCACAAUGGGGGAAACCCUGAUGCAGCGACGCCGCGUGAGUGAAGAAGUAUCUCGGUACGUAAAGCUCUAUCAGCAGGGAAGAAAAUGACGGUACCUGACUAAGAAGCCCCGGCUAACUACGUGCCAGCAGCCGCGGUAAUACGUAGGGGGCAAGCGUUAUCCGGAUUUACUGGGUGUAAAGGGAGCGUAGGCGGCAGCACAAGUCUGGAGUGAAAUCCCGGGGCUUAACCCCGGAACUGCGUUGGAAACUGUGCGGCUGGAGUGCAGGAGGGGUAAGCGGAAUGCGUGGUGUAGCGGUGAAAUGCGUAGAUAUUAGGAGGAACACCGGUGGCGAAGGCGGCUUACUGGACUGUAACUGACGUUGAGGCUCGAAAGCGUGGGGAGCAAACAGGAUUAGAUACCCCGGUAGUC
rnacentral:rRNA from 1 species